rnacentral:rRNA from 1 species
AUACGGAGGGGGCUAGCGUUGUUCGGAAUUACUGGGCGUAAAGCGCGCGUAGGCGGACCUGUAAGUCGGGGGUGAAAGCCCGAGGCUCAACCUCGGAACUGCCUUCGAUACUACAGGUCUUGAGUCCGAGAGAGGUGAGUGGAAUUCCUAGUGUAGAGGUGAAAUUCGUAGAUAUUAGGAAGAACACCAGUGGCGAAGGCGGCUCACUGGCCCGGUACUGACGCUGAGGCGCGAAAGCGUGGGGAGCAAACAGGAUUAGAAACCCGGGUAGUCC